rnacentral:rRNA from 2 species
UACGUAGGGGGCGAGCGUUAUCCGGAUUUAUUGGGCGUAAAGCGCGCGCAGGCGGUCAGGUAAGUCGGAUGUGAAAGGCUACGGCUCAACCGUAGAGCGGCAUCCGAAACUGUUUGACUUGAGUGCAGGAGAGGAGAGUGGAAUUCCCGGUGUAGCGGUGGAAUGCGUAGAGAUCGGGAGGAACACCAGUGGCGAAGGCGACUCUCUGGACUGUAACUGACGCUGAGGCGCGAAAGCGUGGGGAGCAAACAGG